GAUGAACGCUGGCGGCGUGCCUAAUACAUGCAAGUAGAACGCUGAAGGAGGAGCUUGCUCUUCUGGAUGAGUUGCGAACGGGUGAGUAACGCGUAGGUAACCUGCCUGGUAGCGGGGGAUAACUAUUGGAAACGAUAGCUAAUACCGCAUGACAACAGUUAUUGCAUGAUAACUGUUUAAAAGGGGCAACUGCUCCACUACCAGAUGGACCUGCGUUGUAUUAGCUAGUUGGUGAGGUAACGGCUCACCAAGGCGACGAUACAUAGCCGACCUGAGAGGGUGAUCGGCCACACUGGGACUGAGACACGGCCCAGACUCCUACGGGAGGCAGCAGUAGGGAAUCUUCGGCAAUGGACGGAAGUCUGACCGAGCAACGCCGCGUGAGUGAAGAAGGUUUUCGGAUCGAAAAGCUCUGUUGUAAGAGAAGAACGAGUGUGAGAGUGGAAAGUUCACACUGUGACGGUAUCUUACCAGAAAGGGACGGCUAACUACGUG
rnacentral:rRNA from 1 species